rnacentral:rRNA from 1 species
UACGGAAGGCAGCAGUGGGGAAUAUUGCACAAUGGGCGCAAGCCUGAUGCAGCCAUGCCGCGUGUAUGAAGAAGGCCUUCGGGUUGUAAAGUACUUUCAGUCGUGAGGAAGGUGUUAAGGUUAAUAACCUUAGCAAUUGACGUUAGCGACAGAAGAAGCACCGGCUAACUCCGUGCCAGCAGCCGCGGUAAUACGGAGGGUGCGAGCGUUAAUCGGAAUUACUGGGCGUAAAGGGCACGCAGGCGGUUAAUUAAGUUGGAUGUGAAAUCCCCGGGCUUAACCUGGGAAUGGCAUUCAAGACUGGUUAGCUAGAGUCUUGUAGGGGGGUAGAAUUCCAUGUGUAGCGGUGAAAUGCGUAGAGAUGUGGAGGAAUACCGGUGGCGAAGGCGGCCCCUGGACAAAGACUGACGCUCAUGUGCGAAAGCGUGGGGAGCAAACGAGGGAUUAGAUACC